rnacentral:misc_RNA from 1 species
CACGAACAUUGACAUUUCGAACGCACAUUGCGGUCCUCGGACACCGUCCUCGGACCACUCCUGACUGAGGGUCGGCUUCUACUAAACGACUGCCCGGUAGCCGCGGCGACUACGUCGUCGAGGCUUUCGGGCGCUUUGGACGGUAUUAGACGCGUCGGCGACGCGGUCCAGAUCGUAGCACGGUCGAGACUCGCGUCGAGCCUGUCGCGCCGUCCUGAAUUGCGACAGCAUAAUCGGUGUUGCGGAAUAGCAAGCGCCGUUCUCGUGUGUCGAGACGUACGCGAUUGACGUGUCCGAGAUGCGAUAACCGUCAGAUCGUAGAGUACGAACGACGCCGAGAUAUAGCGGAGCUUGCUUUCAUAAGCGCACGUCGAGGGACGCGCUCGUAUAACGAAAGUUAUGCGAGCGUGAAUUCUCGCACACACACACACGACCUCAGGACAGGUGAGACUACCCGCCGAAUUU